UACGGGGGGUGCGAGCGUUGUCCGGAAUCACUGGGCGUAAAGGGCGCGUAGGUGGCCUGAUAAGGGUGUGGUGAAAGUCCGGGGCUCAACCCCGGAUCUGCCGUGCCGACUGUCAGGCUAGAGUACUGUAGGGGCAGGCGGAAUUCCGGGUGUAGCGGUGGAAUGCGUAGAGAUCCGGAGGAAGACCGGUGGCGAAGGCGGCCUGCUGGGCAGUUACUGACGCUGAGGAGCGAAAGCGUGGGGGAGCGAACAGG
rnacentral:rRNA from 1 species